UAACGCGUGGGUAACCUGCCUUGUACUGGGGGACAACAGUUGGAAACGACUGCUAAUACCGCAUAAGCGCACAGCUUCGCAUGAAGCAGUGUGAAAAACUCCGGUGGUACAAGAUGGACCCGCGUCUGAUUAGCUGGUUGGUGAGGUAACGGCCCACCAAGGCGACGAUCAGUAGCCGGCCUGAGAGGGUGAACGGCCACAUUGGGACUGAGACACGGCCCAAACUCCUACGGGAGGCAGCAGUGGGGAAUAUUGCACAAUGGGGGAAACCCUGAUGCAGCAACGCCGCGUGAGUGAAGAAGUAUUUCGGUAUGUAAAGCUCUAUCAGCAGGAAAGAAAAUGACGGUACCUGACUAAGAAGCCCCGGCUAACUACGUGCCAGCAGCCGCGGUAAUACGUAGGGGGCAAGCGUUAUCCGGAUUUACUGGGUGUAAAGGGAGCGUAGACGGUUUUGCAAGUCUGAAGUGAAAGCCCGGGGCUUAACCCCGGGACUGCUUUGGAAACUGUAGAACUAGAGUGCAGGAGAGGUAAGUGGAAUUCCUAGUGUAGCGGUGAAAUGCGUAGAUAUUAGGAGGAACACCAGUGGCGAAGGCGGCUUACUGGACUGUAACUGACGUUGAGGCUCGAAAGCGUGGGGAGCAAACAGGAUUAGAUACCCUGGUAGUCCACGCCGUAAACGAUGAUUACUAGGUGU
rnacentral:rRNA from 1 species